AGAAUUUUAAGUUAGUAAACUAAAAGCCUUCAAAGCUUUAAUCAGGGGUUUAAUCCUUUAAAUUCUA
rnacentral:tRNA from 1 species